rnacentral:rRNA from 1 species
GAUGAACGCUGGCGGCGUGCCUAAUACAUGCAAGUCGAGCGGACGGACGAGAAGCUUGCUUCUCUGAUGUUAGCGGCGGACGGGUGAGUAACACGUGGAUAACCUACCUAUAAGACUGGGAUAACUUCGGGAAACCGGAGCUAAUACCGGAUGAUAUUUUGAACCGCAUGGUUCAAAAGUGAAAGACGGUCUUGCUGUCACUUAUAGAUGGAUCCGCGCUGCAUUAGCUAGUUGGUAAGGUAACGGCUUACCAAGGCAACGAUGCAUAGCCGACCUGAGAGGGUGAUCGGCCACACUGGAACUGAGACACGGUCCAGACUCCUACGGGAGGCAGCAGUAGGGAAUCUUCCGCAAUGGGCGAAAGCCUGACGGGGCAACGCCGCGUGAGUGAUGAAGGUCUUCGGAUCGUAAAACUCUGUUAUUAGGGAAGAACAUAUGUGUAAGUAACUGUGCACAUCUUGACGGUACCUAAUCAGAAAGCCACGGCUAACUACGUG